GUGUGUGUGUGUUUCCCCUGAUGCUGGGACAGACUGAGGACCGAGGGAGAGGAGAUGGCCAGGGCCACAGCCACAGAGCCCUUGGACUUGGAUCAUGGAAGACAGAAGGGCCUGGCGUGCUCCGUGAGGCCCUGAAGAGUCAGACAUUACUGAGAGAGCACUGGGACCGGAGGGGGGCCCCUUCAAAGACUGAGCAUCACAAUAACUCAACUCUCUUCAUCUGAUGGAUAAUGAAAGUGACUUGCCCAAGGUUGUUCUGUUGUGUGAAAUUCCUCUCUGGGCCCUGCAAAUUCGGUGCCCCUCCUGGGGCACCCGGGAGACGAGGGGGCAGGGGGGGAGCACGGCACGGAUCAGAUCAGUGAAAGGUCCUGUGUCAGGAGCAGCGAGGGGGCUGCAUCGGCUGAACUGGGAAGUACAUGAAGGGGAGCACAUAAUGAAGCUGAAACGGUAGUUCGGAGCCUGGUUACAAAGGACUUUAAUGCCAUAAAUAGGACCACGGACCGCCAGAGUAGGAAGGGACCCAGGCUCAGAGAGAAGUGAGUCACAAAGCCACUUCACAGGAGAACCUGGGAUGGAGCCCAAUUAUUCAGUUCUUCAGCGCACAUUUAUUGGACACCGAUUGGAUGCGGGGCGCCCAGCUGAGUCCUGGAGUGUGUGUGAGAGGCAAAGCCCAAAUAACGCUGAGCUGGUCGUUGUGUAAGAGAAAAAGAGACAAAUACAAAAAUUGGAUGUGUGUCGGUGAGGAGUGCAUUACAAGAAGUCUCAGGGGGUGUCUAAGGUUGAAAACGGUGAGGAAGGCUUCCUGGAGGAGCUGGCGUGUCGUUGGGACUUGAAAGGAUGGCGAGGAAUUCAAUGGACUCAGCCUGGACUGAGCAAGACAAACAGAGAGUCCACUUUGAAGUCAAGAAGCCCCUGGUUCAAAUCCUGCUUCUGGUGUUGGCAGGAAAAUUUACCUAACCUCUCAGAGUGUCAUUUUAUUCAUUUGUUAAAUAGAAAUGAUAAUAAUACGUGUAGAGCCCACUGCACAGGGUUGUUGAAGGUCAAAUGAGAUAAUGUAUGUAAAAUCCUCUGCAAACCUUAAAGAAUACAUAAAUGUCAGCAAUUGCUAUUCUUCUCUUCCUUAACCCUUCUCCUUUUUUAUUUCUCUCAACAAAAACUCAAACUGGGGCAUGGCCAUGAAUCCAAGUUUGGGGUGGGGGUUAGGAUGUUGGGGGUUAAGAAAAUUUAAUCAGAAUUUCAUCCCCAUCCCCCUGAGGGAAGGAUAAAGGAAGGGGGUCACAGUGACAUGAAUCCAUAGGUAAAUAAAGAAAUUGUACCAGCCAGUUUGUUUAUCUUAUCUGGCACACUUCUAAUUGGCAUAUUCCAAGGGGCAGAAGGUUUUCUUAUCCUGGAUUGGUGCAGUUGCAAAGGCACCAGAAUAGCUUGUUUAUUCUGGAGUACAAAGGAAUGUACCCUAGAGAGAAGGGGGAGGGUGGGCCAAGAAGCCACUCAAGGUCACUUUGCAAGGCUUGGCUAAGGUGCCCCGUUCCUGGUUGGGCCUCCCCAUGUUGUGAUAUACCAGAAAAAGGCAAAAGGGACUCAGGGUGGUUAUGUCACUGAGUUUUACAAGCCCUUGGUGGAUUCUUUAUUCUGAUAUCAAUUUAUUAUAAUCAGAUUUUUAGUGAGUGUAAACCAUGCCCCUUUUCCUUGAAUUCAGUUAUUUACAAAACUGAGUUGAAUUGAGGUGAAAGAGGGCUCAAGAGAAGGACACAAUUAGGAUGUGAGGUAUGGACAAUGGAUGGGUUGAGUAUCUUGACCAAGGUGUUCCUCAGCCUGGAGUCUGUGACUCUCAUGCUCCAGGGUAGAGAAAAUGGUCUAGUGGAGUUCCAACUACAUAAGUUGCAACCAGAUAGAUUCCUCUCCCAUCAGGGAUGGUUGAGAGCCAUGGAGAAUCCUGGAUUCUUCCCUUUUCCAUUGCUAUCUCACAGCUCACAGGUGCUUUUUCUUAAUGUAUAUUUGAUUCUUUAGGCUCAUGAAGCAGGCUCAUGGUGCCCUUCUUCAUAAUGAUUUAAUCACUUGUUUAGAAUUUCCUAUAGCACUAAUGUUUAUUCCCUAGUAUGGGGGAGGGUGUCAUGGUAAUUUGUUGUGUUCUCCAGGAGUGCCCCAUUAGAAGGGAGCUUCGGAUUUUAAUAUGUAAUAAUCCUCACUUACCUGCUGCAGGGAGGGGUUAUGGAGAUGGAUGGUUGUAUGUUUUUAAAGGAGCUGGAGCAAUGGGAAGGCACCUAAUAGAAAGGUUGUGGCCACAGUUUUAGGCCCUGGGGUUCUUCUGCAGAUGCUGGAUGUUGCCCAAUAAGAGACAGAGAGA